rnacentral:rRNA from 1 species
AGUGAACGCUGGCGGUAGGCCUAACACAUGCAAGUCGAACGGCAGCACAGGAGAGCUUGCUCUCUGGGUGGCGAGUGGCGGACGGGUGAGGAAUACAUCGGAAUCUACUUUUUCGUGGGGGAUAACGUAGGGAAACUUACGCUAAUACCGCAUACGACCUACGGGUGAAAGCAGGGGAUCUUCGGACCUUGCGCGAUUGAAUGAGCCGAUGUCGGAUUAGCUAGUUGGCGGGGUAAAGGCCCACCAAGGCGACGAUCCGUAGCUGGUCUGAGAGGAGGAUCAGCAACACUGGAACUGAGACACGGUCCAGACUCCUACGGGAGGCAGCAGUGGGGAAUAUUGGACAAUGGGCGCAAGCCUGAUCCAGCCAUACCGCGUGGGUGAAGAAGGCCUUCGGGUUGUAAAGCCCUUUUGUUGGGAAAGAAAUCCAGCUGGUUAAUACCCGGUUGGGAUGACGGUACCCAGAGAAUAAGCACCGGCUAACUUCGUGCCAGCCGCCGCGGUAA